AACUGGGGGAGAGGAGGCUACAGUUAGUACCCUUGAAAGAAUAAACUACUCUCCAUCCGAACAAAUGUAACUCAGCUGGGGGGAUCUACGAUGACUGAGCUAAUUCUUUUGUAUUUCUAAGCCUGUGAUAAAUCCCGAUUAAUUCCCACCUUGUUCCCUAGGAAACCUCACCCAAGGCACAUGGAACCUUGGGAGCUUCCUGCCUCAGGCCCUAAGUUACUGCGCUGGAAACCAGAGGCACCAGAGGCACCAUCGCUGGGACCUGUGUAUUUAAAAAAAGGCGCUUCUACCAAAGGAAUUCCAGAAAUUUUCACGAUUCAGGUGGCCACACGCGGCCCUGACCUCACCUCACCUCGCCUCACCGGGCCCGGACUCUCCACUGCUCCCCGGGCCCGGCGCAGCUUCGGAGCAGCCUGGGCGCCGGCCCCUGGGCCCUGACAAGCGCUCCUUAGUCACAGCCGUCAUCUCAACAGGUUCUUUCUGCUUCCGAGUAAAAUUAUCAAGAAGCCCAGAAUGGCUUCCCAGCUCUCACAGUGAACUCCAGUUUUCCCCCCCUGGCCCUCAAGGUCCUGUGUGUCCCGGCUCCCCGUCGCCUGCCUCUCUCGCCCUUGCUCUCUGCUCCAGCCACGCUAGCAUCAGCCACGCUCGGGCCUUCGCUCUCGUGCUCCUCUCAGCUGCAGCGCCCUUCCUUCUUCCAGACAGCUUUCCAGCCAUCUUCAGAUGCCACCUCCUUGGUCUUCUGGUCCCGUCUAUUUACAAUUUCAAACACCUACCUCUCCCUUAACUUGCUCUCCCCCUUCCUUGCUUUAUUAUUUCUCCUUAGCAUUUAUUACUGAAAAAUGGAAUAUAUUACUUUGAGUCAUAUGAAACUGUCAAUAUCUGUCCACUUUUUACCUACAAAAAUGGUCAUUUCAUGUGGUUCAACCUGAUACUUCACUUAGUUAUUCUGAUUGUUAAUCCACCUCCAUUCUCAACUUUAAGCUCCAACGAGGGCGGUGCUCAGAAUAGUGCCUGGCACAGAGCAGACUCUUAAUAAAACUUUUAUCAACGUCA